UACGUAGGGUGCAAGCGUUGUCCGGAAUUAUUGGGCGUAAAGGGCUCGUAGGCGGUCCGUCACGUCGGGAGUGAAAACUCGGGGCUCAACCCCGAGCCUGCUUUCGAUACGGGCGGACUAGAGGUAGGUAGGGGAGAACGGAAUUCCUGGUGUAGCGGUGGAAUGCGCAGAUAUCAGGAGGAACACCGGUGGCGAAGGCGGUUCUCUGGGCCUUACCUGACGCUGAGGCGCGAAAGCUAGGGGAGCAAACGGG
rnacentral:rRNA from 1 species